GACGAACGCUGGCGGCGUGCUUAACACAUGCCAGUCGAACGGAAAGGCCCUGCUUUUGUGGGGUGCUCGAGUGGCGAACGGGUGAGUAACACGUGAGUAACCUGCCCUUGACUUUGGGAUAACUUCAGGAAACUGGGGCUAAUACCGGAUAGGAGCUCCUGCUGCAUGGUGGGGGUUGGAAAGUUUCGGCGGCUGGGGAUGGACUCGCGGCUUAUCAGCUUGUUGGUGGGGUAGUGGCUUACCAAGGCUUUGACGGGUAGCCGGCCUGAGAGGGUGACCGGCCACAUUGGGACUGAGAUACGGCCCAGCCUCCUACGGGAGGCAGCAGUGGGGAAUAUUGCACAAUGGGCGGAAGCCUGAUGCAGCAACGCCGCGUGCGGGAUGACGGCCUUCGGGUUGUAAACCGCUUUCGCCUGUGACGAAGCGUGAGUGACGGUAAUGGGUAAAGAAGCACCGGCUAACUACGUG
rnacentral:rRNA from 1 species